UAGCUGGUCUGAGAGGAUGGCCAGCCACACUGGAACUGAGACACGGUCCAGACUCCUACGGGAGGCAGCAGUGGGGAAUAUUGGACAAUGGGGGAAACCCUGAUCCAGCAAUGCCGCGUGUGUGAAGAAGGCCUGAGGGUUGUAAAGCACUUUCAGUGGGGAGGAGGGUUGAUAGGUUAAGAGCUAAUUAAYUGGACGUUACCCACAGAAGAAGCACCGGCUAACUCCGUGCCAGCAGCCGCGGUAAUACGGAGGGUGCGAGCGUUAAUCGGAAUUACUGGGCGUAAAGGGUGCGUAGGUGGUUUAAUAAGUUAUCUGUGAAAUCCCUGGGCUUAACCUGGGCAGGUCAGAUAAGACUGGUAGACUCGAGUAUGG
rnacentral:rRNA from 1 species